ensembl:lncRNA
GAGGAAAUGUUUUUGCCCUGCACCAGCUAAGCACUUAACCCAGACAUUAAACACAUAAUGUAUUGUUUGAACUUUCUAUAAAAUAAAAUAGCAUUCUUUACAGUUAUUAUACAAUAUUGAAGUAUAUUCUCCAUGGAAAUCCAACAAAACAUUUUUGCAUGGAAACCAAAUGUAUGGAAAUGGAGAUUAAUUUGCGUUAUUGAUAAGGUAUCAUAAAGUCAACAGUCAUACACAUUGGAGCCCAAGACAGAAAGACCCGGACGCUCUGGGAGAGAGUCGUAGCUUUUCCUGAUAACAUCUCGACAGCGAUAAAAACUAUUUUAUUGUGUUGACAUUCUUCUUUUCUCUAUUUUCACCUCAAUGUUUAGAUGCCAAUUGUCCACCUCUUCUCUGUUUAUUUACUGCUAAAAGUAAUCCAUGUAACAAUUGAGCUAUACUUUAGAUUUCUUAGAUAGCUAUUUCAAUUCUGCUCUCUCUCACUAACUUUAGAGCCAUGGAGUAGAGACAAUUUAUCUACAAGUUGAUUGGUGCUGAGACAGGGGUGAAAAGAGUGAAUUCCUACAGCACCGACAGAGACAAAAAGCCAAAGUUAGGUCCUGUGCCUUUUCACUUUUCAGCAGGCUGUACUCUGAUUUGAGAUCAGUGCACAGUUGCGUGCUUAACUUUUCUGGCGUUGACAUGGAUCGUCUAUGCCAAAGUUCUAGUUGCAUGUGAUUAUGUUAUCUGUGAAUCAGGUCAUUAGUGAAUACUGUGUAUGCUUUUUAAAUAAAGUGAGUUAUACUAUUUUAAUUAUUAACUACAUCAAUAGAUUAAGCCAGUAGAAGUUAAUUGUAUUUUUUGUUAAUGGAGAAACUCAUUGUUGAGGAAUGUGUUUGCUUCUUAAAUUGCUUUAAAAACAAUUGCUUGUAAUAUUGUAUGUUUUUAUUACAUUGUAUGCUUGAAUUUUGUACACUGCAUCAAUUGUGUUCAUGCAGGGCUCCCUUGAAAAAGAGACCUUGGUCUCAAUGGGACUCUCUGCUAAAAUAAAGGUUAAAUAAAUGUAAUAAAACAUAAAACACAAUUUAGAUAUUUCUAAAGACUUUAGUCCCAAAUUAUUAUUUUUGCACAUUAAAGAAAUCACUCAAUGAAUGAUGUAGCAGCCCAAAGUUGACCAGUGCAAUUAGCCUACUUUCAUUGAACUAUAUGUCAUAAGAUAAAGAAAUAAAAUGCCCU